UAGUCUGGUGCCAGCAGCCGCGGUAAUUCCAGCUCCAAUAGCGUAUAUUUAAGUUGUUGCAGUUAAAAAGCUCGUAGUUGGAUUUCGGAUGUGGGGCACCGGUCCGCCGUCAGGUGUGUACUGGUGCGCUACGUCUUUUUGUCGGUGGGCGUGUCUUCAUUGACCUGCGCGUCGGCGUUGUUACUUUGAAAAAAUUAGAGUGUUCAAAGCAGGCUAUCGCUUGAAUACAUUAGCAUGGAAUAACAUGAUAGGACUCCGAUCCUAUUUCGUUGGUCUUCGGGACUGGAGUAAUGAUUAAGAGGAACAGUUGGGGGCAUUCGUAUUUCAUUGUCAGAGGUGAAAUUCUUGGAUUUAUGAAAGACGAACUUCUGCGAAAGCAUUUGCCAAGGAUGUUUUCAUUAAUCAAGAACGAAAGUUGGGGGCUCGAAGAUGAUUAGAUACCAUCGUAGUCUCAACCAUAAACGAUGCCGACUAGGGAUUAGCGGAUGUUACUUCGAUGACGUCGCUAGCACCUUGUGAGAAAUCAAAGUCUUUGGGUUCCGGGGGGAGUAUGGUCGCAAGGCUGAAACUUAAAGGAAUUGACGGAAGGGCACCACCAUGGCGUGGAGCCUGCGGCUUAAUUUGACUCAACACGGGGAAACUUACCAGGUCCAGACACAGUAAUGAUUGACAGAUUGAGAGCUCUUUCUUGAUUCUGUGGGUGGUGGUGCAUGGCCGUUCUU
rnacentral:rRNA from 1 species